UGACAGAAAAAACUGUGGAAUGAAAUGGCCAUUCCCAUCAACUGUCAAUCCCCCGAAAUGUGAAAUAAUACCAAUUGCAGGUUUUACCAAAUUUCAGUUUCUUAUCUACUCUCAAACUCUCUCCACACUCCACUCUUAUCUACAUUCCAUUUUACUAAAUCUGGAUUACAUUCCAUCCACAAACCAAACACCACCCAACUAUCAAAGUGAUUUCAUGCCCCAACGAUGAACUUCAUAUACGGUUUC
rnacentral:lncRNA from 1 species